UUCGUUUUUCCCUUCUUGAUCUCCUUCUUUUUCUCCUUCCUCUUUCUCCCCGGAAGAAUUUAGAGAAGAAGAGAGAGAAGAAGACAGACGAGGAGACAUAGAAGAAGACAGAGAAAUUUUCCCCAAAGAAUUAGAAAUAUCAAGGGCUCGUUUUU
rnacentral:ribozyme from 13 species